rnacentral:rRNA from 1 species
UACGUAGGGUCCGAGCGUUGUCCGGAAUUAUUGGGCGUAAAGAGCUCGUAGGCGGUCUGUCGCGUCGGCUGUGAAAACCCGGGGCUCAACCCCGGGCCUGCAGUCGAUACGGGCAGACUAGAGUUCGGUAGGGGAGACUGGAAUUCCUGGUGUAGCGGUGAAAUGCGCAGAUAUCAGGAGGAACACCGGUGGCGAAGGCGGGUCUCUGGGCCGAAACUGACGCUGAGGAGCGAAAGCGUGGGGAGCGAACAGG